GUGCUUGCUCCAGCAGCACACGUGCGAAAAAUUGGAUCGAUACAGAGAUUAGCAUGGCCCCUGCGAAAGGAUGACAUGCAAAUCCGUGAAGCAUUCCUCAUUUUU